CGCUCUAUUAAAUUAGGGUCGAUGGCAAAGCCUAGUUGUUGAGAGCAAUGGUGAAUGACAGUUUCUUCUGAGUCUGCAAAGGUUUCAGCGGGGUUAGUGUCCGGAACAUUGUAAAACAUGAGAUUGUUACGACGGGAGCGAUUUUCUGCGUCGUCCACUCGUGCUUCCAGUUUGUCGACCUUGCAGAUCGGAGCCUUGCAGACUAACCUCACUGAACAGUGAAAGCAGGUAACAGCUCUAACCAUGGCCACGCAUGGCUCCAACCACCUCCAUGGCUCCAACAAAGCGAAACCUAGCGUCAUCUGCGGAGCGCUGUUUGAACCGCCUUCGUUUUGCGACGGCCAACGUUACGGUGGUUACUCUCGGAAACCAAGAUUCGCCUAGCACCUGUGCUGCUUCGACAACGUUGGUGGGCGUGGACCAAGACGCUGGCGUGCAUUCAUCGACACGUGGUGAAUGCGGCAUCAUGAAUCGACAAAGUUUUCCAUGCGUCACAAGUCCGGGUAUCGCCUCCACAACAGUGACGUCAAGUCACAUGCCCCCUCGGACAGCUAUAAAGGCACCGGACGAGCUGUGCUUCACCAAUGGGCGAGGCGGCAGCAAUCCCGGCAGCAUGCUGAACAAUCCCUUUUGCUUCAUGCU